GCUCCCACCCUCGACCUCCCCGUUUGCCUCCUGGGCUGCGGGGGUCGUCGGGGAGCGGGAGGCUUCAGGGUUGGAGAGGACGCCAUGGCCGCGUCUCCAGACCCCAAGCACCAUAGACCGACCACCUCCUGGAUACGAAAGGGGACCCCAGCCUCCGGUUCCCCCGCUCCGCCGCCCGCGCGGCCGCUGCUCCGAGGGGGCGUGUGUUCGUGUCUGUGGGGGAGGGCACCGAGGGUCUCCUUGGGUCCCCAGGGUGGGGUGGGAGCGCAGACCUCGGAGCCACCUCCCCAACACAUACGCCAGGAGGCUCCUCCGGGGCGGGGGUGCGCCCCCCCUGCCCACCCACGCGCCUUCACGCCUUUCAACUCCUCCCGAGUUGCCGCUGAGGAAUCCCUGCCCCAGACCCGGGGGAAUGGGACGUGAUGGGGAGCGCGGAGCCGAAGGGUGCCGAGGAGAGGUCAAUGUGCGCCCCUCCUCUGUUGUCCCCGUGGCCGGCACCACCCGCCUUGACCAGGGCCACAGUGUCGCCAUCGCAGCCAACCCCGUCACUGGUCAUGCAGGUGGAGCGGGGUCCAGGCCAGCCCCCGUCGCACGGCCAGCCUGAGGCCUCAAGCUCUAGGGGUGUCCUGAGGGCCCAGUGAGCCGGGCCACGGAGACAGAGACCGCGAGGCCGCCGACAGCCUCCCCUGGACAACCUCCCGGCACCCUCAGGCUUCCUUCUCCCCUGACGGACACAGCCUCCCUCCGCAGGUCUCUGAACUGGGGGAAGAGAUGGAGGCGGUGCCAGGGUGAGGGCUGCCUCCGCGCCCCCUGCUCCGGCCCGCCCUCCCUGCCCACCCCAGGGCCCUCUCUGCGCGGCGGCCUGGCCGUCCCCUCGCACUAGCGGCCCGUGGCCACCAGGGGGCUCUGAUAUGCAGCGGCGCCGUGGUGCUGGCAGCUCUGAGUCAGGAUUUCGGGGCUGCUUCCCCACCGGCCCUUCUCCCGCUGCGGGGAGGGGGCGGCCCUCCCCACUCCGCCACUCCUCCUCCUCCGCUGGCCGCUGCGGGUUCCCAGGGUGGCCCGGUGUCCCCUCAGCCCGGGCUACGCCGCCGGGCCGGGCCUUCCCUCUCCUUGCCUCGGGACUCCUUGCUUCCCUCCCUGACCUGCCCCUUGUAGAAAAUUGCCCUCUUGUCCCAGUUCCUGGGCCACAGUCCAGAUAGUUGCCCCACCCCAGCGGGAGGCAGAGAGGCCCUGAACCCCCUCUGCCUCUCCCCAAGGAGGAAGAAGAGUCAGCUUGGCGCCUGCAGAUCAGAUGCAGGUCAUUCUGCCCAUUGCACACCGCCGCCCCCCCCAGCUCUCAGCUGGAUGACCUGAAAUAAA